CCAAGAGUGGGCGUUCGUUCUGCCCGAGCUCCACGCUUAUUUAUGACUAUGCCCGGGUUAUUUGAAAAAGGCCAUUCUUCGUUAGGUAAUAUCAGUCAGAAUCAGAUGGGACUUGAAUCAGAGUUUAAAUCCCUACUUGGACAUGGAAACCACUGGGUGAUCUUGGGGAAGUCACAUUCUUUCAACCUCAGAGGAAAGCAAAAGUAAACUCUCUCUGAACAAAUCUUGCCAAGAAAACGCCAUGAUAGGGUUGCCAUAUAUUGGAGUCAACUUGAAGGUACAUAACAACAAAAACUAAUGUAGAAUUAUACUGCCUGAAGAACUUUAUCAGUGGACAAUGUUUUCGUCAGUAGGAUGGACAGAUAUAUCCACACCAAAAUUAUUGGCUUGUGUUGUAGUUAUAAAAAUACAAAGGGCACCGAACAUAGAGUAGCUUGUGGAAUUAUUGGUAUUAAUAAUAAGAUCUUGAAAUACCCUUUGAGGUGUUGUAUGAGGUGGGCUCAGACAGAUAAUUCUUAGCAAGCAGUAUAUUGAUUUUCCAAUUUCCAUGUGGUUUGUAAUAAAGCUAGUAUCUUUGGCAUUAGAUAUCAAUUUCACACUACAAGCAAUGUUUUCAGUAACAUUCCUGGCAGAGACAUUUACACAGACUAUAUAUAUCUGUGUACAUUGCAUAUAUAAUCAAUGAAAAGGGUGCAAAAGGUACAAUACAGGCAGUCCCCAAAUUACAAACAUCUAACUUGCACAUUACUCAUAGUUGAGAACGGGUGAGACAACGUGAAGAGAGAGACAUCUCCCUGUAUGAAGGAAAAUCCACUCCUGAAAGAGUUGUCAUGGGGAAAAGGUGUCUCCACUGAAGCAUUCUCACCAAUUUUUCAAAAUCCAAUUAUCACAGGGGCAAAAAAUGAGGUAAAAUUCUGAACAGGAGUGCAGACAGUAAAACAAACACCACAGGGUUUAAAUGCUAUCCAAAGCUUUAAAAAUAUACAUUUGGGUAGAGUUACACCUAAAAAAAAUACCUGUUCCUAUUUACAAGCAAAUUCAGCUUAAGAACAAAUCUACAGAACCUAUUUUGUUCAUAACUUGAGGACUUCCUGUGUUGGUGCCUUGUUAUCAUCUGGUUUAAUAUUUAAGUUAUAAUCUUCAGAAAGCCCUGUCCCAAUGAGGAGAAUGAAAAGGAACACAAAAGAAAUCCAGACAGAUAAUGAGAGAAUGGGAGAGGGAGAUUAUAAGGAAUUUGUUGCUAAAAGCAAGAAGAGGGACAAAUACAUAUGCUUAAACAGAUUAGACGCAGGAAGCCAUCAAAGAACCAUUGGAUGAUGAGAGCAUAAAAGGUCUGCUAAAAAUAUGAUACAGCAGAGAAGCUGAAUGAAUUCUUCACAUCUGUCCUCAGUGCAGAAAAUACAACUGACUGAACCAACUUUUUCAGAAAAUGUCCUAUGAAUUACUGGCAAAAAUUAACAAAUCACUGAGUCCAAAUAGUGUCUGAACUCCCAUAAUGUGUUGAAAGUUUGGAAUUGUUAAUCAGCGAACAAAAAUAAGUGACUAGUCCCUAUAAUUGUCUUCUGUACCAAAAGGUUGGAAAGAGGUCAAUGUAAUAUUAAUUUUUAAAAAGAUACCGAGAGGAGGAAGUAAUAAUGCAGAUAGCAUAACUUGUUCAGGUUAACUGGUAUAAAAAUCAUUAAUAAAAUGAAGGCACAUCCAAACUGAAUUUUAAAAUCACAAAGGCCCAGAAUAUUUCUGUCAGUUUUCAGUACAAUUAGAGAUUUUAUUUUAUACCAGGUCCGAUUAUUUUAACUCUGUGUAAAAUCAGAAGAUUGGGAACAAAAUCUGGGACUUUUCUUUCAUUCUGAAUAUGCUCUUAAUCUUGCUAGUUUCUGCAAAGUUGAGCCUUAUCUGACUAUUUGGAGAUCUUCGAGAGUAUUAAGCACUGGAUUGAUGAACCACUAGAUGUUGUAUAUGUCCAAGUCUUUAAAUGCAUUUUCCAAAACAAUUUUAGUAAUCAUGACAUAAGAGGAGAGAUCCUCUUGUAGACUGGGAACUUGUCAGAGAAAAAUGGUUGAACGCAGGAAUGGAGACAUACAUUCUCAUCAUGGAGGGUUACAGAUCAAAGCAUCUGUAUACAGUUACUGCUUUCUAAUUUGUUCAUUAAUGUUCAGGAUGAGGUCAUGUUUGCUGAUAAAAUGGUAAAAACAAAAAGGGGCUGUGAAGAUUUCCUUCCUCGAAAGACUGUGUACCACCUCAUCCAUGGUUGCCACACUUAAAAAAAAGAUUUGGGAUUUGGAAAAGUGGGAAGAAGGACAACCAAAAGGAUGAGAGGACAGGAACAACUUAAAAUGUUAACAACAUUUAAGCCUGUUUAGCUUUUAGGGGAAGCAAAGAAGCUUGGUUAAAGGGAUAUAAAACUUUGCAUGAUGUAUAGAAAGUGGACAAGGGGGAAAUUCACUUCCCCAGCUUGGACAAUGUUAAAUGUGGAUUAAGCGAAUUCAGGGAGGCUAAAACUAUCAGUGGUUUCUAGUUAUGUUGGUAAAACAUACAAUGGUGAAGGAACUAGCACACGUGUGUCCUCUUCAUGAGCUUCCCAUAGAGAUCUGACUUUCCACUGUAUGAAUAGACAACUAGACUAGAUAGGUCUUAAGUCUAAUGCUGCAAGGCUGUUAUUAAAUUUUUAUUCUAUUUUGAUACACUCCUCGGUAUAUGCAAAAUAUCUGUCUCUACAUACAAAAUGGCAAACAAGUGCAAAUGUAGCUGGCAUUGUAAUGCAGUGCUCACAUUAGCCUGAAGCAAAACUCUUAAUGAGGUUCAUCAGCAGGACUACAUAAUAUCGCUGUCCUUAAUGUAGUAUUAAUAGUUAAUAUCACAUCUUGUUCUUCAAAAUGGUUUUACACAUAAUUAUAUUAAAGAAUUUGGUCCAAAUCUGAUUCAAGUACUGUUCCCAGCUAUUAGUUAUUGGCAAAUAGUAUCAAAGCAAUGAGAUCCCUUCAAUGUGCAUGUAUUGUUGGUGUGCACAGAAACCAAGGUUUGCUACACAUGUGCAGUGUACUCACCUGCAAUCAUUUAUUUCUGCAUCCAUAGUAUAUUGCUGGAUUGAGGCAGACUUAUGAAAUAGUUUGCUCAAAGAAAUAUCAACACAAAUAUCAGUUCCUGGAAUAUCAAUUUCAAAUGGUGAAAAAAAUCUGUUAUAUGAGUUUUCAGACGCAGCCAUCCUGUAGAUAAAUCUAUGAAACAAUCCCCAUUUUUAAAUUUCAUUCACCAAAUGAUAUUUUUAUUUUCCAGAUGAGAAUUUGGCCCUCAAACUCGUCGGCAAAGUAGUCAAGGAUAAAGCUAACUUAAAUCAAAGUGAAACCUUAACUUUAGCAUUUUGCAAAAAUGUUAUCAGCAGUGUGUCACCUAUCUAUUGAGAAAUAACAGUCAAUAUUUUAUAGAUAACUGAUUAAUGUCAUCAAUAUGAUGAAACAAUUUGAAUUAGGAUUAUCUGUUUCUUUAAAUUGUCUUUUAAACCAGUUCAUUCAAAAUUCUGUAGCUUAUUUUCUUUUCAAAUAUUAUUCCUAAAGAACUGGGACUAUGUUCAGAUUCCUGUAGGAAUAUAAGGAUUAAUAACUGGAACUUUUAAAGUGCUUCUUCCACGUAUCCUCAGAGUCUGGAGUCCAUAUUCAGAAAUCUUUGCCCCAAAGUCAUGCAACAAAUGCUGCAGAAAAAUCCCUCAUGUGCCUAGGUUUCCAGACCACCAAACAACACAAAUCUUCAAUAUUGUUUCUUGGGCUGUAAAUAGUGAGUUGUCAUGAGCAGACCACAGAAUGCCUUCGGAUCCAUUUAGAAUGGUCUGGAGAAGAAAAUAAUGACAUUAUAGUUAUUUGCUGAAAUUGAUUUUUUUCUAUUAAAAAAAGAAUUCCUUAAAUCCAAAACACCUGAAGGGCCUAAGUUUGCCCAUGCCUGACUUAAGUCAUACAGUAUUACCUAAAUUCAGACUACUAAAACUGCAAUAUUAACAAAUAGGGAGUAAGAGUCACUGGAGAGUCAGCUAUCAUUGACUAGAGUUUGGGAUGUCCAAGUUAAUGUCCCUACUAAGCCAUGGAGCUCACUGUCUCCCCUGACCUACUUCACAAAGUGGCAAUUGUAAGACCAAAGGGGGGAAGAUGAGAGAUAUAUGUCAUCUUGAGCUCAUCAAGGGAAAAUCAGGAUAUAAAUACAGUGGGACCAUAGUAUCCGAUACAAGCUCCCCACCCACCCAUCCCCACCUGCUUGGGUAACAAAAUCCAUAGAUGCUAAAUCCCCAUUAAAUACAUAUACAAUGGGUAAUAAAAGGGUAUAUCUUAUAUAAAAUGACAAAACCAAGAUUCAACCAUGGAUGAUUGAAUCUAUGAAUAUAAAAUCUAUGGAUAUAGCUGACUGUAUCUGUGGAUAUAGAAGGCUAACUGUAUAGUUAGGAUCUACCAUAACUGUCCUAAAAGUACUAGAUUCUGUACGAUCAUGGAAGCUAAGCAGGAUCAGUCCUGAUUAACAUUCCGAUGUGAGACUAUUAAUAAAUCCCACAUGUUGUACACCACAGCUUCUUAAACUCCUUUCUGCCCAAGUAAUUUUUACAUGAACCUGGGCACAUAAAAUAGGUAUAAAAAUCAAACUUUUACUGAUCCACAUUUGCAAGUCUUGCUUAACAAGCUGAUUCCCCCUUUUUUACAAAGUGCAGAUGAAGCAUUUUCUGCAGAGUCCACUGUAAACACUGCAUGUUGUUGCUAACAUUUACUGCUGCCAAUUUUGGGGGCUUCAACAUUCAGCUAAGGUUUGGGGUCUGGACCCACACAUUUAAGAAGCAGUGAUGUAGACUACUUCAAAGGAAUGUUCUUGCUUAAGAAAACCAUAUGGAAUGUAUCUGGUUGCCCUAAGGCAACAGGCAACUUGAAAGCACAAACACAAUCAAAUAAAUACACUGAAGAUAUUUUUAAUAGAAAUUUACAUGCAUGUGAUAGUGCUGUAAACUUCAAUUGGGACCAUCAUUAUUAAGCUACCAGUUCUUUUUCUGGUUUUAAUUUUCAUGGCAGGAUCACAUUUUUCUUGUUUCUAGCUUUACUAUUGUGCAGUGAGGAAGUAAAUAGCCUCGGGACCAAAGUAACUGCUAGUAUUGAAGUACUGGGUGUUAAAAGUCUUUUAUCUGUAUUAAAAUGACUAGCCAAUAUCAUCAGUGUUAAAGGUCUACUGUUAAAGUCUGCUUGUUUAGAAAUAUAGGAGUGUUUGCAAACAAAUGCUUUGCUGUUCUUUUUAUCCCGUGGGAACUUUUGCUGUUAGUGGUGGGAAGAAAUCUACUUGUUUUCGCUGUAGUAUGUAGAAACCAAUUUGUAUGACUCUCUAGGUGAAUGGAGGUUUCCUACAUAUCAUCAGUGUGUUGGUUGCAAUCUUGGAAAAGUUAAUUUCAGUUUAAACAGUAAUUUAUCCCAUUGGAAGCAAUGGAACACAACUCAUAUGUACUGUGAAUUUCAAACAGAUUUACUCCUAUGCCUCAGGUUCCAUCCAUUUCGGUAGCACUUAAUUCCUGAGAAAGAAUGUACAAGGCUGACUGAAGAUUUAGCUGAACUGGGACCAGAAGAAAGUUUGCCAAGCAGGACAAUAGUACCUUGCCUGAGAAGUUGCUAUUUGCCAAAAAAAAGAAGUAAAUGAGUAAGUCCAGAACCUCCAGAGCUGUGCCCCACUUAUGCCAGAAGUAAUGAAACUCCAUCCCAUGGCCUUGCUGUGCACCUAGGCACUGAGCUCCAUCUUGAGAUUUCAGCUAGUAAUAUAAUUUUGUUUGCCAGCUCUUCUAAAUGUAGCCAGAAAAGACUACUUCUGGUCAACAAUAAUUUGUUUGAUUCUGUGCACAAAAACUUCUUUUUUCCCCAAAUUGGCAGAGAGUGUUCUAAAUAGUUCUCUACAACUCCACCUUUUCAGAUACUUUUAAAAUAUACUAGAUACUCUUUUCUCCUCCCACUUCAGUUUCUUGGCUUACUUUGAUUCCUGCAGAGUUCAAAAUGCAAAGGUAUUUGCACUUAGGGCCUUUCUACACUGACAUAUAAUCCAGAUUAUCAAAGCAGAUAAAUCACAUUAUUUGCUUUGAACUAGAUUAUAUGAGUCUACAUUGCCAUAUAGUCCAAUUCAAAGCAGAUAAUCUGGAUUUUAUAUGGUAGUGUAGAUGGGGCCUUAGUUAACUCAAGAAGGGAGAGUGCAUAAUUUUGGCCUUCUCAAGAGACUCGGAAGAAAACUGCAGCACCAGCGCUAUUUGGCAGGGAAGGCAAAAGACCUUGUAAAACUACAACUCUUAUGAUUCCAUAGCAUUGAGCCACAACAGUUAAAGCAGUGUCAAACAGUACUGAUUUCACAGUGUAGAUGCACCCUUGAUGUUCCAAACCUUUUCAUGCACAGUUUGGCAUGGCAUGUGUGUGUUAUUGUUCCUUUGAGUCUGCCAUGCAUUUAUUGUCUUGUGAAAAAAAUGUGAACAGUAGAAAUUACUACAAUAAUCAAAUGAUUGUUUCAUUGAAAUCAUAAGCAAAAUAAUCCAAAUCCAUUCAGUCAAAGUUUCACCCGUAACCUUGAAAUGCAACAGUAUAUCUUAAUAGAGCUGGAAUGAGGAAUCUCUUAGAAGAAUGCUGGCAAUAGUUCAGCAAGCAAACUUUGCAAGUGAGAACAACAACAAAAAAACACACUUGAGAAUAAAGCAAAGGGCAACAUUGAGUACUCAGAGCACGUUGGGCAUUCAUGCCUGCCAGUUUUUUUCAAAGAUCCCAUUCAUAUGGUAACCUUUUUGUAUAUUUUUUUAAAAGUGCAUAGCAGUUGCUGGUGGCCUGCAAUGCAUUUUAAUAGAGGGAAAUGAGAAGAUCCUUUCAAACUUUCACCAAAUGUUUGAGAUACAACCUACUUUUGUUGGUUUAAAAAAAAAACACUUCGCCUUUUCAGCAAUAGAAGCAGCUACAGUGGGGAUAUCAAAGAAAAUUUAAUAAAUUUGUUCAUGAACAAAUAGAUCCCCAAGGAAAUAGAUAGCUUAAGCAGCCAAAGUUAAUUUUUAAUUUGGAAGAACUUCAAGGAUCAUCUAACAUGGUGACUCUAACCUGGAAAAAGUAGUGCUCUCUAUUUUCCAUUUCCCCCUAUUUUUUUCUCUUUCCCCUUUUAAAACCAAGUAGCCUGAGGGACAGGGAAUAAUUAUGAGUUGUGGUCUAUUGCAAGUUCAAGGUUCCCUCAACCCACAAUAUUUCCCAAUGUUCUCUCCUCUUUCCAUUUUCUCUUUGAAACCCUGUUCAGCUUGAUGCAGAUCUUUGUGUCUUUGCUUCCAGAAUCAUAAUGCUAGCCAUCAACUCCCAUCUCUUCUCUUGUCCCUGUGUUAAGGAAUGAGUAAGAGGCAGAAUUGACUGGUGAUGCCUUUCCUGGCAUGGUGUUGCAUUAAUAGGAGAAGCUGGCCCUACCAAUUUUCAACCUGUUGCACAAAUGCUAAAGACACGGAACCUAAGAAAAGCUUACAAAUUUCAGGGGCUAGGAAACCUUUUACAAAUAGUGGUAUUUGGAGCAAAAGCACAAAGAAGUUAGACUGCAUGGCUUAUUGGCACUUAGAACAGGAUCAGCUAGCACAGAAGAUAAGGAGACUGAAGUAAACAUACUGUGGUUAGAAUAAAUAAAGUUGGAACUGUCAGAAGCCCUGCCAAGGUUAUCUGAUAAGGGAAUAGGUCAGGAUGUCAAGGAUCACCUGGAGCUAAAAGGAGGAGGAAUUUGGACUGAGGGAAGAAAUGGAAUAAUGGAAUAUUCAGAAUUUCUGUCAAUCCUCUCAUUAUUUUGUGCAUUAAACACAGUUGAGACCCCCAUCAAAAUAAGAAUGAUUCACACCAAAGUGUGAACGUCCUUCAAGGACUGUGUCUUGAGUUAUCAUUAUACCUUGUUUUUAUCCAGAUCUGUGUCAGAGACCUUGGCUUGUCAACAUAUUUGUUUAACUUGCACAUCAGCAUUCUGAUUGGAGAUCUCAUUGAACUCUGCAAACAAAUGCUGGGGUUUUAUUACCUCCCCACAGGGUUUUCAGGGUUAUUUCUCUACUAAAAGGGGAGGGAUUAUCUCUAAAUGUUGGUUUAAACCAUUGCUCUAUGGUAUAGUAGCUACAGUAUGAAAAUGAGCUUCAAAGCUUUACUGAAAAAGGUAUUUUCAGUGUUCAUCUUAUGUGAAUAAUAUUUCAUCAUCACCCUAGAUGUCUUUACUUGGAAGUAAAUUCUAUUAUUUUUACUAGGAUUUAUCUCUAGAAAAUCAUACAUAGAUCUUUGGCACUCUGUCAGAUCUUCUAAAGCAGUGGUUUUCAACCUGGGGUCCCCAGAUGUUUUUGGCCUACAGCUCCCAGAUAUUCCAGCCAAUUUAUCAGCUGUUAGGAUUUCUGGGAGUUAAAGGCCAAAAUAUCUGGGGACCCACAGGCUGAGAACCACUGUUCUAAAGUUUAUAAUAAUAAUAAUAAUAAUAAUAAUAAUAAUAAUAAUAAUAAUAAUAAUAAUAAAACUUUAUUUAUACCCCGCCACCAUCUCCCCAACGGGGACUCGGGGCGGCUUACAUGGGGCCAUGCCCAAAACAAUACAAUGUAAACAGCAUAUAAAAGAACAGCACAACACAAUACAAUAAACAAUACAGUAAAUAAUAUCCAUUACAAAAUAAAACAAGAAGACAAUAAAAACAAGGGCAGACCACAUGAACAUUAAGUUAAAACUCGGGGUGAGACAUAAAAAUAAAAGCCACAGCGAACAGGGUCAUAAGGGAGUGGGGUAUUCUGGAGGAUAGAUAUUAGAGGGAGCAACGGAAAAGAAAUAUAAAAUGGUUACUCUCCAAAAGCACAGCGAAAGAGCCCAAGUUUGCUCCCCUGUUGGUUUAAAAAAAAAAAAUAACAACAGUAAACCUAAUAUAUUAUGCUUUCCAAUUUUCAGUGUAGUUUGCAUUCAUUAUCUAGUUAUAAUCUGAUAAAAUUACAUAGCAACUUAGGGAGACCAGGACUAUGGAGUGUGGUAAGACAUAGGACAGUCGAAAACAUCUGCUUCACAUUUUACAUGGUGAUGUCUAACAAGACAAAACCUGAGUCAGGGAAACUGGGCUCUGGAUUUCCCUGCACUCCAUCAGCAGCAGAUUAUAAUUAUAAUAAUUAUAAUAAUAAUAACAACAACUACUACUACUACUACUACUACUACUUUAUUCUUAUACCCUGCCCCAUCUCCCCAAAGGGACUCGGGGCGGCUUACAUGGGGCAAUGCCCGGACGCAACAGUACAAAAUCAAAGCAAAAACAAUAAACAGAUCAGCCAACCGUAAAAACAUCGACAUGGGAAAACAGUCAUAAAAAGUCAAAGUCUAUGCUAUGUAUGGAUCUAGAAAUUUUGGUCAAAAGAUCAACCCAAAAAAUUUGGGUCAGAGUAUCCACGGGUCAUUGUGGAUAAUGUAUCCUCUCAUUAAAAAGGGGAUCAUCACCUUUUCUGGGUAGAGUGGCAAAGGGAAGAGCUUAGGGCCCUUCCCCACUGCCCUUUAUCCCAGGAUCUGAUCCCAAAUUAUCUGCUUUAAACUGGAAUGUAUGACUUCCCACUGCUAGAUAACCUGGGACAAACUGAUAAUCUGGGAUCAAAUCCUGGGAUAUAGGGGCAGUGUGGAGGAGCCCUUAUUCUAUCCUGAUAGAAGUACUAAACCCUCUACAGGUAGUCCCCAAGUUAUGGACAAGAUAGGUUCAGUAGAUUUGUUCUUAAGCUGAAUUUGUUUGUUAAGUCAGAACAGGUACAUUCUAUUUUUUGUUUAGCUUUGGAUAGCAUAAGGAAGGGUUAACACCUUUAUGGUGUUUGUUCAUUUUGUUCUGCUGUGCCCCUGUUCAGAUUUCACCUCACUUUCUGUCCCUGUGAUAAUUGGAUUUUGAAACAUUUGGCUUCAUGUAGAAACAAAGAUUGGUGAGAAAGUUUCAGUGGAGACACCUUUUCCCCUUGAUAACUCUUUGAGGAGUGAAUUUCCUUUCCUAGGAGUAAAUUUAUCUCACUUUCUGUUGUUGUUUGAGUUGUUUGCAAGUCAGAUAUUUGUAACUCAGGAACUGCCUGUACUCUCUCAGCCAUGGUACCACUUCUCACUUUUUGAAUGCCUACCCUCAACUUAUACAUGAGGUCAACUUACACAUGAGAUAUAUUGCAUUUCGAAAUUAUGGGGAAAGUGUGAAGAAAGUUUGGCCUGCCAAAUAUUUUGGCCCAUAACAACCCUUCAGCAGACCCACUCAACAUGGUCAAUGGGAAGGCAUUUUGUGAGCUGUAGACCAAAUAUCUGCAAAGAUAAACCCUCUGUAUCCUCAGUAUAAAAGUUGUUGGUAUUACAGAAAGUUGGAAUAACAUUUGCAUUAAGGGUUUUGUGGCUGUUGUUGAUAUUAUUUGCUGUCAAAUCAGCUUUGACAUGAUGAAAUGAGAGAGCUGCAAGAGCCCUGGACAUCAACAGCCUUCUGUAGGACAUAUAUAUACUGAGGGCUGUGCCCUUCUUUUAUGGAGUCAUUCCAUUUCUGUUGUGGUCGUUCUCUUUUCCUAGUGCCUUCUGCUUUACUUUUUCAAUGAACGAUAUCAUCUCAUAAUAUAUCUAAAAUACAACAGGCUCCAUUUAGUCAUUUUUGCUUCUACAUAAAGUACAGACAAAGCAUAAUGGGAGAGGCCUUGAAAGUUUACCAAGAAAGCUUUUUACCAGUGAAAAAAUAGGAGAACUUGGGUGAUGCCAACCAGGCAGAAAUGUAAGUAUGUUGUCAGUGAAGGCCCAUGGAUUCUGGCGACUCCUUUCCGCUGGGCAAUGUGUCAUUUUUAUAAAUAAAGCUCAGCAGUCCACUCACGGGGAGUCACGUCACAGUAUUUUCCAUGUCUCAUACUUUGCAGAAGCAAGCUAUCUCUAGAAGUCACUGGCUGCUAUUUAUAGUUUCCUCUCUUAUAAAUGUGCACAGGAAUUAAGCAUAAAAUUCUUAAAUUAAAAUGAAGCAAUUAAGAAUUUUGUAAAUAUUUAAAAAUAUUUGCAUAGAAUUUACAUGCACACCCCUCUAAAGAGGAAGGCCCAAAGGAAUGUAUAUCCUCACACCUUUUUUUAGAUGGAAAUUUAUGAGCAGAAGGUUAUACAAAUCAUCUCUGUGAUUUUACAUGAACAAAACAUUAUGUUUAGACAAGGAAACAUCUCCAGACUGCUUUUAGACCACAAAUGAAAAGAGGAAACAAAUAGUACAAACUAUGGAUGUUUUUAUGUAUAUAAGAUGAAAGAAAAUCCAUAUUUUAUUACUGUGUUUAAUUCUGUUUUGAUAUUUGUAUAUUUUAAAUUGGAUACCAAACUUUUAUGUCAAACCACUUUGAGUCCCCUUUGAGGAGAUAAAGCGGGGUAAUAAUAAUAAUAAUAAUAAUAAUAAUAAUAAUAAUAAUAAUAAUAAUAAUAAUAAUAUAUUGCUCUUACCAUAUCCGGUUAGCUCAAUCCAGCAUGAAAAAACAUGCAUGGGAGUAAUCCUCACUGAGAUCUAUUUACUUCUAACUAGACAUAUUAGACAUAUGGAGUGAAAAUACGAGCUAAAAAUAAGAAGAAGCCAAUUAAUGUAUCAGUACACAGAGUGUUAGGGUUUUUUCAAUGCUUUGGCUCAUUGGUGCUCUCACGUCAGGAGUGUGUGCAUCUACACGAUAGAAUUAAUGCAGUUUAAUGCCACUUUUACUACCAUUGUUCAAUGCUAUGGAAUCAUGGGACCAUGUAACACUUCUGUAUAUGAAUGCAAGUGUUAGUACUGUAUUUCAAAACUGAUAUAAUUAAGAAUGGAAGACUUAAAAAUUUACAUGGAAAAUGCA